rnacentral:rRNA from 1 species
CCCUUAGACGUUCUGGGCCGCACGCGCGCUACACUGAUGCAUUCAACGAGUUUUACCUUGGCCGAGAGGCCUGGGCAAUCUUUUAAACCUGCAUCGUGAUAGGGAUAGAUUAUUGCAAUUAUUAAUCUUGAACGAGGAAUUCCUAGUAAACGCAAAUCAUCAAUUUGCAUUGAUUACGUCCCUGCCCUUUGUACACACCGCCCGUCGCACCUACCGAUUGAAUGGUCCGGUGAAGCCUCGGGAUUGUGGCCAGUUCACUUUAUUGGGAGUUGGCUGUGAGAACUUGUCUAAACCUUAUCAUUUAGAGGAAGGUGAAGUCGUAACA